GUAGGGAAUAUUGGGCAAUGGAGGCAACUCUGACCCAGCCAUGCCGCGUGCAGGAAGACGGUCCUCUGGAUUGUAAACUGCUGUUGAAUGGGAAGAAACGUAGCUUUGCGAAGCUAUUUGACGGUACUAUUAGAAUAAGCACCGGCUAACUCCGUGCCAGCAGCCGCGGUAAUACGGAGGGGGCAAGCGUUAUCCGGAUUUAUUGGGUUUAAAGGGUGCGUAGGCGGCUUUAUAAGUCUGGGGUUAGAGGCGGCAGCUUUACUGUACGCAUGCCCUGGAAACUGUGGAGCUUGAGUGACUUGGGGGUAGCUAGAAUUCCCUGUGUAGCGGUGAAAUGCAUAGAUACGGGGAGGAAUACCGAUUGCGAAGGCAUGUUACUACGAGUAAACUGACGCUGAUGCACGAAAGCGUGGGGAUCAAACAGGAUUAGAAACCCGUGUAGUCC
rnacentral:rRNA from 1 species